rnacentral:lncRNA from 1 species
CCCUGCACAUAUAAAAGCCAUGUUUACACCACAGCGUGAUCUAUAAAGUGUGCAAUAGCAUUACGUUUAAAAAAAAGUACCUCCCUUAAUUUAAAAGGACAAAAUUAUACAAAAAUUACAAUAGUAACUAUCAAAGAUCGCAGAUCAUCGUAACAAAUGUAGCAGCAAUGAAAACGGCUGCAACAGUGUGAGAAUUCCCAACAUGUGACACAGAGACAUGAAGUGAGCAAAUGCUGUUGGGAAAAUGGCAGGAUUGCCACAAACCUGUGACUUGUAAAAAACGUACUAUCUGUGAUGCACAAUGAAACGAUGACAAACCAAUCCACGACCAUUUCCUGACAACCUACUGUGAGCUCAGUCCCGGGCUGCACGCGUAUGAAGGAUGAUUGCAAGCCCACCUCCUGGACCGAGCCCACCACGGAGGUCCCUGACCGCCUACUGCUGGUUCAUUGACUUGUUCGUGCAGCAAACCAUGGCUGAGCACCAGCCACAGAGCUCCUGUGCUAGAUUUUGGAGUUGAACUUGACUCCAGGAGGGACCAUUUCCAUCACUCAUGCGCAUAUGGUGUUUUUUCAUUCUCAGAGCUCUUGCCCUGAGAGGGCAUUCAAUCCCCACAAUGACCCAGGAAAGAUGGGGGUGGGUGUCCCACGCUCUCCCACUGCACUGAAGUCCCGAGGGUUUAAGAGACUCAACCCCGAUCACAAGGAAGAAGGGUGACUUGAACCCUGGGCUUCUCUCCUCUUUCAGCUACAAAUCUUUGCCUCCCUGUGAGGGAUGUGAGGGCCCUGUUAGAACAAGAUCCCUGUAGGUGGGUGGCCUCAAAGGACCCGGCUGUGUGGGAGGCAAAGGGCAGGCAUCUCACUAAUGCACCCAGAACCGAGCUUCUCAAGGUCAGUGCCGCCCGUCCAUGGGGCUGAGUCCAGUUCCCAACACGAGUCAAGAAUCCACAACAAAAGCCUACAACAUGAAACAAAAGCCUCUGUGUUGCUGAGAAGGAACGCUGGAAAGUGAUCAAGGGCAGGUCAGACUCAGAGAAACCCUGAGCCACCAUAAACGGAGUGCUCUAGUGUGCCUCUACUUUCUCAUCUGCAAAGUGGGAAUAACAGCCCAUCCCUUCUGAAUAGAAUUCAGUGGGAUCAAGGGUCAGGCACGGUAUCUGGUAGGAAGUGAGUGCCCCACGUUCCCUCUUUUUACCUAAGGGGACCCGCCGUGCCACCACGUUUGUUGCUUUUAAUUGAGGUGCAAUUCACAUCGAACCGAACCAAUCAUUUUAAAGUCUACAAUUUGGUGUUGCUUUGAACAUUCACAACGUUGUACAAUCAUCACCUCUAGCUGCUCAACAUUUCCACCCCCCAAAUAAAACCUCGUACCCACGAAGUGGGUACUCGCCCUGGCCCCCCGCCCCCAGCAACCACCAAUUUGCAUUGUCUUUAUGGAUUUACCUACUCUAGGUAUUUAGGUGGAAUCAUAGGUGACCCUUUAUGUCUGGCUUCUUUUACCAACCAUAAUGUUUCCGAGGUUUGUCCAUGUUGGAGCAGGGCAGUAGCUCAUUCCUUCUCAUGGCUGAAUAACAGUCCAUUGCAUGUGUGUGUGUUGAAUUCAUUGCUGGGCCAUACGGUAAUUUCAUAUUUCACGGAACUGUCUUUCACAAUGGCUGCACAAUUUUAUGUUCACACCAGCAAUGCACAAGGGCUCCCAUUUCUCCACAUCCUCGGCAACACUUGUUUGUUGUUGCUGUUGUUGAUGAAAGCCACCCUAGCAGGUAUUAAGAAGGGCUACCUCGGGGCUGUGAUUUGUGUUUCCACCUUUUCCCGUGCUCGCUGGCCACCGGCAUAUCUUCUCUGGAGAAAUGUCCAUUCAAGUCCUUGGCUCCUUUUUUAAUGGCGUUGUUCAUCUCUUUGGGGUUGAGGUCUCUGCAAAGGCGUAACAAACGCCUAUGCUGCCUCAAGACUACGGAUCUGGUGGUGACCAGGCAGCCAGGGGCCGGGGGUGGACGGAGCUGCUGGAGAAGGUCUGGGAAAGGUAGAGACAUGAUUACAACAGCCUGGGGAGCGGGACUGGGAGGGAGGUUAGUGGCAAACGAGAAGGAGAGACUGUGGGUGACUUAACACUCUUAUUGGGGUUCACGUUGCUUGGAGUGGCUGAGAACGUGAUGUCAGCAUCGGUCUCCCUCUGGCUCCCACUCCACGGUGGAGAUACAGAAGGACAUGUUAGGCCAGGCAGAAGGAAAUGCUUCCAGGACAGACAGCUUUCUGAGGCCCAAAACCUGCAGAACCUGCAAACACCUGGCACGGAGCACAGACCACCCAUGGGGCAGACUGACCCUCAGGCCACCAUGCCCCGUGGAAACACCUUCACCAAAGCGGUGGAACUGGCCACGGGCACACAUGGCCCAGCCUUCACCUUGACACCCUUGACGCCAAAGGGCACACACCGGGCCUAGCUCCAUGGACCACGUUUUCUGAUCAUCCUACGUGCAGAGGGAAUCCUGGCUUGAGCAUGAGGUGCUGGGAGCAAAGGCAAUACCGACACCAUGCUUGACCCCGAGGGGCUCGCAGCUGGCAGAGAGAAGGCCGGGGAGACCACCCACUCCAAACCAGUGGAGCAUGGGCACGCCACAGACACCAGCACCUAAAGGACAGCAGGACCAGGUAACUUGGGCUGAGCCUGCAAGUUACCAAGGAAGGGAGAGGAGGACAUGAGAGCAACCCUGUAUUUGGAGCCAGUGGAUCUGGGCUCAAUCCUAAUGCCGCCAUCCACAACAUGCUGAAUUCUGGCAAAUUCCUUUACUGCUCAGAGCCCUCCCUUCCUCAUGGUUCACAGUGGGGAUAAUGCAGUGUCCCCACCGGGGCAGCUGUGAGAUAACGCGGGGCAGCACUGCUACCUGUGAGAGCUCUGCAGCCUCUCCCUGGGUUCAAAUCCCCCCUGGGCCACUUACUGGCUGAGGGAUCCAUCCAUGGCAGAUAACCUAAUCCCCCGAGCCUCAGGUUCUUCAUGUGUAAAACGGGAGUGGUGAUAUAUCAGCGAUCUUUAGGGAAGCUGUGUCCGCGUCAUGGAUCAACACACGUGGAGAGCCCCAGGAAGUGCUGCCCAAUUCAGCUCUGACAAUUAUAUACCCUUCAGAAAAACAAUCUUUCUUCCUAAACUGUCUAUGUGUUUAGUAUAGAUUUCUGCACAGUGAGCUGAGACCCAGCUCCAAAUGCUCAAACUGCUGAGUCGCAGAGUUUUUUUUCUUAGCAUAUAGUUGAUGUACAUACAGUGUUGUGUCAAUUUCCGCUGUACAGCAGAGCGACCCAGCCACACAAAGAUAUACAUUCCUUUUCUCAUGCCAUCUUCCACUUCAUGCUCUACCCCAAGAGACUGGACAUAGGUCCCUGCACUGAACGGUGGCGGGGGGAGCCGAAUUUUAAAACAGGUGUCAUCUGAGGAAAGAGACUCCCCCUUCAAGGCAGUGAAGAGAUGGCCACGGGCCCAUGGCUCACCCCACUAGAGGCAUCUGAUCCCGGUCUCUUCCAAAGGCUGGCGGCACCCCUGCCCCCUUCCAACCAUCCGCACUGAGCCCCACCCAUUCUUUAUCCAGAGUGAAACCAGCACCGCCCAGGGAUCUGCAGUGAGGUUCGGUUAAAACAGUUUAUGGAAAGGAAAGCCUCGCUUUCUGUCUCUGCCUAAGAUAAGAAGAAUCUGAGACGAGAAAGAAGCCAAGACGUGGCCCCCCCUCCACCCCGGCCACCCCGAAGCCCUGACCCCUGCUCACAAGCGGCUGAGGCUCAGCUCUGGCCUCAGGGCUCUGCCUUGGGGCAAGUUCCUUCACCUCCCUAAGGCCUCGGUCUCCUCGUCUGUAAAACAAUGACCACACAGGGGUUGUCAGAUGGCCAGAAAUAAGGCGCCCUAAGCAGCGCCUGGCUCGCAGUGACCAGAGUCCCCCCCCAAGGGACUCGAGCGUUACACUUCACAGCCCCUGCAGUGGUCCCGUUCAUGGUUCACGACCCCGGGACCCAGCCCCGAGGAGCAUUGCCAGGCCAGCCGGUCAAGCCUGGACGCCGAGGCAGCGGCCACUCUGCUCUGAUGGGCGGGUCAGGAGCACUGCAGGCAGGAGGCAGUAUUCCCCGGGGAGGGAGCUCCCCAUACAGAUGUGCCCGAUCCACACAACAGACACGGGCCUGGAAAAAGCCAUGUCCAGAACAAAGGUCCAUGGCCACCAACCAUAGCUCUGGAGAAGUCCCGCAGAAGACAUGGGCAGAGGCGGAGACUGAAGGCGGAGGUCAGGGGGUUCCGGGAGUCCUGCCUGUUGGGCCUCCUCUGCAUCCCUCACGGUCCAGGGCAGGUGCAGGAGCAGAUGGGGGCCCGUGGGCCCAACCUGCCCCAGACCUCCGAGCGCAGGCCCUGGGACUGACAAACUGCAGGAGGCCGAGUAAAGCCCACAUCCCCGUCCCUUCCAGAAUCCUCAAUGGCGGUGCCUUUGUCACAGCUCCUGCAAGCAAGCUUGCCCCACCAAUCCGCUAGCACGGGAAAGCCUUCCCGUGACCUCUACCGCCCUCCGCACACACAGAGUCUGUCUGCUCCCUAGUACAGGGGUUCACAGCACAGGCCCUGGCAGCCACUUUUAGCUGUGUGACCUCAGAAACUACACUCAGCCUCUCUGAUCUUGUUUCUCUCAUCUGUAAAAUGGGGCUAAUUAUAGCACUGCAAGCCUAGGAUGACUGCGGGAAUUAAAUCAUAGAAUAGAGGAGGCCUGAUUCACAUUGCCCAGGACUUAAUAAGAACUAGACGAAUGUCGGUUCUGAUUAUUAGUUACUAAUCUAAUUACUAUCAUCAGGAAGUCAUUUAAUUUUGCCAGUGCCACCGGUACAGGCUUCAUGGGGUGUCAAGCUGACAGCUAUUUCCCUGCAACAGAGAACAGCUCAGAAAAGAGGGAAGGAUCAGCCUUCUUUGUCAGCUUCCUACAAGCAGCACUAUUUCCGGUCACAAUUUCCCACCCACCCUACAAAACAGAGGCCCCU